AAUCAGAAUCAAUCACCUCAUUAAGUUAGUGCACCGGCUAACUCGUUUCCCAAGAAUCCACUUAUUUAUCCUGGAGUUGGGGGUGAAUGUGCUUCAUACACACCAUCAAAACUUGGGGGGGGUGCAGAAAAAGAUCAUAAUCCUAAGGUCUAAUAAAUGGGACCAAGGAAGAAGGAAUAAUACUUCUCUAAAGACUUAGGCCUUGAUGUUAAAUAGGGAAAGCAAAGGGAGAAAAACCUGGGUACCAAAAAUCAAUCAAUGAUCCAGGGGGAGCCUUUGGAUGCUCAGAACAGUCCUUCAGGAAAAGCAGAAGCGGAGAGGGUGAGGGAGGGGGCAGGGAAGGAGGAGAAGCAACUUUGUCCUUAUUUGGUCAAAGGUUCUGCAGGCGUUGUUAGGAACCCGGACGCCUGGGUCUCCCGGUAACCUAGAGUUUAGGUCCAGGUAUCUACGCCCCACGAUGAGGAAGCCGACCCCUGGGGGCUUUCUAGGAAAGUUGAGAAAGUUUUAAGGGUUGGGGGACUAGGCUGUCUUGAGUCUAGACAUUCCGGGGAACCUUUCUUCUCCCCCCUUAAACCCCAAACCCCUAUAUCCGGUACCCUCCCGCCCGGAAAUCCCCUUCCCCCCCCAUCCGAACUUCCGCUCCCCCUCCCCACUUCCGGGCAGUGUGGCCAGGGAAGGUGGUGGGGACAGCAGCAACCUUAUUCCUUCACUUUUACGGUGUCAGAACUUCUCACAAAGUUCCCUUACUCCAGGCCGGGCCGGAUGGCGGGAAGGGAGGGUGAGGGGGACUUCCGGGUUUGGCUUCACAGGAAUGUUGAGGCUAACGUGCCGAAUUGGGGGGUGUGUGUGAGUGCGUGUGUGGCGGCCUCGCCCUCUCUAACGGAGUUGGGAGGGGCAGGCAGCUCCCGGAGGUCGGGCAAGGGCCCAAGGCCACGCGCCUGCAGCUCCCACCAGCGCAGAGGCAAACAAUGGUGGAGGGAGCGCGAGCGGGCGGCCCAGAGGGGAGCCGAGGCUCCCCGAGCCCCCUUAUCAAUCACAAGCCCAGGCCAAAACGCAGCGCGUGCCUGCCCCGCCCUGGAGGAGGCGGAAGUGGGCCGCCGCACCGGGCGGCGCGCCCCUCCCCGCCCUGUGCCCCGGAUGUAACGCCCCGUCGCAGAAAGCGGGGUGGCGGGCGGGAUGGGCGCCGCCGCCGCCGCCGCCGCCGCGGAGCGUAGGGCUCGGGGGGCAACCGAGGGAACCUAGAUCCAUGCAGCCGCCGUUCGCGCCGCUUCCAGGCAGAGGGACCAGAUCCCGGCCUCUCGCUGCCUUCGCUAGACUGCGCCCGCCCCCACCCAAGCCUCUCCCCGAGGGUCUAAGCCCCUGGUAAAGGUCCCCAACCCAGGGCACCUGUCCCAACUGUCUGCCGGAGACGCACACGCCGGGCUCGCUCGAGUGCAUCCCUACAUUCUAGGGGAAUCAUUCCUUCGCUGGAUCCGCUCCAGCUCAGAGCCUCGCCCUACUCCUGAACCCUCUCUACAGAGGUCACUGAACAGGGGCGCCAGCCGGGUGACACGGGCGGGACUCUUUUCAAGGCGGAAGAAUACUAAAGUCCCAAGGAUGGCAACUUUUACAAGAAGGGGAAAGUCCCCUCUACGUUGGGCCCAUCGGGCUUUUCUCCCCCCCCCCCCCCCCUAAAACUUUUGCUAAGUA